rnacentral:rRNA from 1 species
GACGAACCGUGCGAGCGUUGUUCGGAAUCACUGGGCGUAAAGGGCGCGUAGGCGGCUCUCUUGGUCGUGGGUGAAAUCCCCCAGCUUAACUGGGGAAGGGCCUACGAUACCGGGGGGCUCGAGGGAGGAAGGGGCGGUCGGAACUGUCGGUGGAGCGGUGAAAUGCGUUGAUAUCGACAGGAACGCCGGUGGCGAAAGCGGACCGCUGGCCCUCUUCUGACGCUGAGGCGCGAAAGCCAGGGGAGCGAACGGG